GCCCACCACCCCUCCCGCCCCGCCACCAUGAGCCCUCGGCUCCGCGGCCUCGUCCUCCUCCUCCUCGCGGCCCUGCCAGGGCUGCGGGCGGACGCGCAGCUGAUCGAGGACGGAGGGGGCCUCCAGCCGCCCGGCGGGAGCCUCCGCCUCUCCUGCAAGGCCUCCGGGUUCACCUUCAGCAGCUUCAGCAUGGAAUGGGUCCGGCAGGCGCCCGGCAAGGGGCUCGAGUACGUCGCUGCUAUUAGCAGCGGUAGUAGCACAUACUACGCGGAUGCGGUGAAAGGGCGCUUCACCAUCUCCCGGGACAACGCGCAGAGCACGCUCUACCUGCAGAUGAACAGCCUCAAGGCCGAGGACACCGGCACCUACUACUGCGCGAAAACUGCUGGUACUCACAGCGCGCCGUGGAGUGCUGGUAGCAUCGACGCCUGGGGCCGAGGCACCGAGGUCAUCGUCUCCUCCGGGAGCCCCAGGGCCCCCAGCCUCUUCCCGCUCGUCUCCUGCAGCGCGUCGGAGAGCUCCGAGCUCUACUCGGUGGGCUGCUUGGCCGUGGACUUCCUGCCCAAGGAGCUCACCUUCUCCUGGGCCAACUACGCCAACGAGAGCGUCUCCGAGGGCGUCUCCACCUUCCCGCCGGCGCUCGCCGCCGGGCUCUACACGGCCGCCAGCCAGCUGACGCUGCCGCUGUCCAAGGGCAAGAGCGAGCAGCCCUUCUUCUGCGCGGCCCGGCACGUGCAAGGCAACCGCCUCGUGGAGCUGCACAACCCCAGAGGCCCCCUGCCCGACGAAGUCCCCGUGCUGACCAUCCACCCGCCGUCCCGCGAGGACUUCGAGGGGCCCUUCAGGAACUCCUCGGUGCUCUGCCGCGUCCUCAGCGCCCGCAAGCUGCCCGUCGCCGUGCAGUGGCUGAAGAACGGGGCUCUGCAGGAGACCGGCGUCACCACCCAGGACCCCGUCUCGGACGGCCACGGCGCCUACGUCGUCAGCAGCCGCGUCUCCGUCCUCGAGUCGGAGUGGGACGCCGGCGUCGUCUACACGUGCAAGGUGGACUCGGAGCUGAGGAACACGAGCAAAGCCCUGGAGUGCGGCUUCGAGCACCUGCCGGACACGGAGAUCACGGUGAAGAUGAUCGCCCCGGCCUUCGCUGACAUCUUGAUCAACAAGGUGGCCAAGCUGACGUGCCGGGUGAGCAACCUGCCCAGCGUCGAGGGCCUGACCUUCACCUGGAGGAAGGAGACGGGCAAGGAGCCGGAGACCAAGACCCUGCCGCGGCUGCUGCAGCCCAACGGGCUCUACAGCGUGGACAGCGUCGCCAGCGUCUGCGCCGACGAGUGGGACAAGGGCGAGGUCUACGUGUGCCGAGUGACCCACCCCGAACUGCUCUUCCCCGUCGAGGAGAAGCUGCAGAAGAUGACCAGCAACAACAGCAAAGCCCCGUCCAUCUACGUCUUCUCGCCGCCGGCCGAGCAGCUCUCCGCGCGCAAGACGGCCACGGUCACCUGCCUGGUGAAGGGCUUCAACCCGCCCGACCUCGUCGUGCGCUGGCUGCGCAACGGGGAGCCGGCGGCGGCCGGCGAGUACGUGACGCUGCCGCCGGUGCCCGAGGAGCACCCGCCGCGCUCCUACUUCACCUACAGCGCCCUGACCGUGGGCAGCGACGAGUGGGACGCCGGCAACGUCUACACCUGCCUCGUGGGCCACGAGAAGCUGCCCUUGCAGGUGGCCCAGAAGUCGGUGGACAAGUUCUCGGCCUGCCUGGACGCCUUCGCGGAGCAGGAAGAGCAGAGUCUGAACAACCUCUGGACCACGGCGUCCACCUUCAUCGUCCUCUUCAUCCUCAGCCUCUUCUACAGCGCCACGGUGACGCUGAUCAAGGUGAAAUAAGGCCGAUUCCCGGGAAGGGCGCGCUGCCCGGAGAGGCCGCCGCCAGCUCCGGCUCCUCGGCAGCCCGUUUCCCCACCGACGGAUUUGGGACUCUUUUGCUCUUCGUUUCGGCUGGAUUUGGCGCGAAAGCGCCGCCGCGGGGCGGGAGACGCUGCAGCUGGUCCUGGGUCGCCCCUGUGACCCCCCCCCCUUGUAAAUAGCUGGAAAAAUAAAGGUUCCUGGUGUCUCCCGA